UACGUAGGUGGCAAGCGUUAUCCGGAAUUAUUGGGCGUAAAGCGCGCGUAGGCGGUUUUUUAAGUCGGAUGUGAAAGCCCACGGCUCAACCGUGGAGGGGCAUUGGAAACUGGAAAACUUGAGUGCAGAAGAGGAAAGUGGAAUUCCAUGUGUAGCGGUGAAAUGCGUAGAGAUUUGGAGGAACACCAGUGGCGAAGGCGGCUUUCUGGACUGUAACUGACGCUGAGGUGCGAAAGCGUGGGGAGCAAACAGG
rnacentral:rRNA from 1 species